UCCGUGUUAACCACGGCAGUCUCCUUAGAGUGCCCAACUGAAUGCUGGCAACUAAAGACAAGGGUUGCGCUCGUUGCGGGACUUAACCCAACAUGUCACCACACGAGCUGACGACAGCCAUGCAGCACCUGUCUCUCUGCUGUAUUGCUACAGAAACUCUAUCUCUAGAGCGAUCAGAGGAUGUCAAACCCAGGUAAGGUUUUUCGCGUUGCUUCGAAUUAAACCACAUGAUCCACCGCUUGUGCGGGCCCCCGUCAAUUCCUUUGAGUUUUAGUCUUGCGACCGUACUUCCCAGGCGGGGUACUUAUUGCGUUAGCUACAGUUCGGCGGGGGUCAAGACCCACCAAACCUAGUACCCAUCGUUUACGGCGUGGACUAC
rnacentral:misc_RNA from 1 species